rnacentral:rRNA from 1 species
UACGUAGGGCGCAAGCGUUAUCCGGAAUUAUUGGGCGUAAAGAGCUCGUAGGCGGCUCAGUAAGUCGGGUGUGAAAACUCCAGGCUCAACCUGGAGACGCCACCCGAUACUGCUGUGGCUAGAGUCCGGUAGGGGAGUGUGGAAUUCCUGGUGUAGCGGUGAAAUGCGCAGAUAUCAGGAGGAACACCAACGGCGAAGGCAGCACUCUGGGCCGGAACUGACGCUGAGGAGCGAAAGCGUGGGUAGCGAACAGG